CCUACGGGGGGCAGCAGUGAGGAAUAUUGGUCAAUGGACGAGAGUCUGAACCAGCCAAGUAGCGUGAAGGAUGACUGCCCUAUGGGUUGUAAACUUCUUUUAUAUGGGAAUAAAAUGUUCCACGUGUGGGAUUUUGUAUGUACCAUAUGAAUAAGGAUCGGCUAACUCCGUGCCAGCAGCCGCGGUAAUACGGAGGAUCCGAGCGUUAUCCGGAUUUAUUGGGUUUAAGGGGAGCGUAGGUGGCUUGUUAAGUCAGUUGUGAAAGUUUGCGGCUCAACCGUAAAAUUGCAGUUGAAACUGGCAGUCUUGAGUACAGUAGAGGUGGGCGGAAGUCGGGGUGUAGCGGUGAAAUGCUUAGAUAUCACGAAGAACUCCGAUUGCGAAGGCAGUUCACUGGACUGCAACUGACACUGAGGCUCGAAAGUGUGGGUAUCAAACAGGAUUAGAUACCCCUGUAGUC
rnacentral:rRNA from 1 species